GGUUGGAUGGCCGAGCGGUCUAAGGCGCCAGACUAAGGAUCAGCUUCGAAAUGAAGCGUAAAUUCGGUACCGAAAUCUGGUCCUCCGGGGCGUGGGUUCGAAUCCCACUCCAAUCA